rnacentral:rRNA from 1 species
AGCAGGUCUGUAGCAAUACAGAUGCUGGCGACCGGCAAACGGGUGCGGAACACGUACACAACCUUCCUUUAAGUGGGGAAUAGCCCGGGGAAACCCGGAUUAAUACCCCGUAACAUAUAGAAGUGGCAUCGCUUUUAUAUUAUAGCAGCAAUGCGCUUGAAGAUGGGUGUGCGGCUGAUUAGAUAGUUGGCGGGGUAACGGCCCACCAAGUCGACGAUCAGUAACUGGUGUGAGAGCACGACCAGUCACACGGGCACUGAGACACGGGCCCGACUCCUACGGGAGGCAGCAGUAAGGAAUAUUGGUCAAUGGACGCAAGUCUGAACCAGCCAUGCCGCGUGGAGGAUGAAGGUCCUCUGGAUUGUAAACUUCUUUUAUUUGGGAAGAAAUCUAUCUUUUCUUGGAUAGUUGACGGUACCAGAUGAAUAAGCACCGGCUAACUCCGUGCCAGCAGCCGCGGUAAUACGGAGGGUGCAAGCGUUAUCCGGAUUCACUGGGUUUUAAAGGGUGCGUAGGUGGGGCAAGUAAGUCAGUGGUGAAAUCUCCCGGGCUUAACCCCGGAAACUGCCAUUGGAUACUAUUUGUCUUGAAUACUGUGGAGGUCAGCGGAAUAUGUCAUGUA